CUACACUAGGGUUUUAUCUUCUGUUCAAGGGAUUGGGAGGCAUCAAAGUCAGAGAAGAAGCUAUAGUCCUCAUCGUCGUAGCCAUAUUCCAACACGUGAAAGAAAGAGGUACGUCAAUAAACCUCGUGAUCACCACCGAUCUCACCGUCAACGAUUCCCUCUUCUUUUUGAUUUUCUCAUUCGCAAUCUCCCUAUCGAUGCUAGCCCAGAAGAUCUUAGGUUUUCCUUUGAAUGGUAUGGUUCGGUGAAGGAUGUUUAUAUGCCGAAAGAAAAAUUAUUACUCAGGUUUCGGUAUGGUGAAGAUGCAGCUGAAGCAAAAGAUAAUCAUCGUUCUCCCAAGUGAUCUAGAAAUGUUUCACAGUCUAUUUCUCUGCGUUCUCCAUAUGGUGAAUAGGAAUACAGAACCAAGCAGAGGUCCCCAAAUCCUAGGGAGAAUGGCCAGUGUCCACAUGAUUAUAAAGAUAAUGUGCACAACAUGUUAUAGAGUCCAAGGCGUGUCAAUUGUAAUCCUUCAAGGCCUUCUUAUGGGGUUUUGCACACAUGGUUACUACUGAAAACCGUGGAUCAAAUCCAAAAUCUGAUAGCUUUUCCCAGACACUGAAUGAAGAGAAGGCAAGAUUGAGAUCGUAUAUAGGUUCAAGGCUGCCAAGGUAUGAGAGGAGAUGUAACUCAUGCAAGGGUUGCGAAGCCAUUCAUAGGCAAAUUUGGAUACUUUUUAUUUUAAUUUGUAAAAAAAUA